GGCCCUGUAGUCUAGAGGUACGAUUCCUGCUUUGGGUUCCUCGAGUGCAGGCGGCCGGGGUUCGAAUCCCCGCAGAGCCC
rfam:Jaapia argillacea MTCL 33604 unplaced genomic scaffold JAAARscaffold_38, whole genome shotgun sequence.